GUUUUUUAAAGUCUUUAAAAUACAGUGAAUAGUAUUUGAAGCCAGGUCUGACCUCAACUGUAAACCCCUGUUUAACAAGCCAUAUGUGUGGUCCUAUUUUGUGCUUAUUCAUACAGUAUAUGACUACGAGGCAUAACUGUGUACUUUAUGUAUGCUUUAUCUGUCCAGCUCUCCAAGAAAUAUGGCUCCAUCUUUACGAUUCACUUUAGACCCAAGAAAAUGAUUGUUUUGGUAGGAUACAAGAUGGUUAAGCAGGCGCUGGUCAAUCAGGCAGAGGACUUUGGGGACAAAGACAUCACUCCUGUGCUCAAUGAACUAAACCAAGGACAUGGGAUGUUUGCCAAUUAUGUUUGCCAAUGGAGACUCAUAGAAAGAGAAGAGACUCUGUUACAACUUCCACCGAAGGUGGCUCCUCUCCCUGUUCGGGCGGCGCUCAGCGGUCGUCGUCGCCGGGUCUACUAGCUGCCACCGAUCCCUUUUCUUUUUCGUUUGGUUUUGUCUGUCUUGUGUUCACCUGUGUCUAGUUUAGGCUAAUCAGUGGGGUAUUUAAUCUCGCCCUACCCGCUAGGUUUUGUGCGGGAUUGUUUGUGUACCUGUCGUUGGUUUGGGUGUCACAGGUGUUUUCACGGGACUGUUUUCCUGCACGUUAGUUUAGUCAGAGGAGUGUGUUCCUCCGUGUUUGACUGGACUACGUUCCUGUUUCUUAGUGGCUGCUGUUGUGGUCCUGUGCCUGUUCUGUUGAUGGACUUGUAAUAAAACGCCCUUCUGGAA